UUGGCUCAGAAGCAGCCAUCCUUUAAAGAGUGCGUAAUAGCUCACUAGUCGAGUGAUUCUGCGCCGAAAAUGUAUCGGGGCUAAGCAUAAUACCGAAGCUGCGGGAUUAGAUGAAGAAUCUAAUCGGUAGGGGAGCGUACUAAGUGCGUAGAAGGUUGACCGGAAGGGCAGCUGGAGCGCUUAGCAGUGAGUAUGCCGGUGUGAGUAGCGAUAAGAUGGGUGAGAAUCCCAUCCGUCGAAAGCCUAAGGUUUCCAGGGGUAAGGCUCGUCCUCCCUGGGUAAGUCGGGUCCUAAGGUGAGGCUGAGAAGCGUAGCUGAUGGACAUCAGGUUGAUAUUCCUGAACCACCAUAAAACUGAAGGAAUGACGGAGGAGGCUAAUCAGAGCUGAUUAAUGGAUUUCAGUUUAAGUACAAAGAGGGUUACGUAGGCAAAUCCGCGUAGCAAAACCUUGAAGUAUGAUGACGUAAGUCUGGUGAAGCCACACUUCCAAGAAAAGUUUCUAGGUGUAUUUUAUGGUGCCCGUACCGUAAACGGACACACGUAGGCGAGGAGAGAAUCCAAAGACGCGCGAGAUAAUUCUUGUUAAGGAACUCUGCAAAAUUACUCUGUAACUUCGGAAUAAAGAGGGCUCCCGUGAGGGAGACGCAGAAAAUAGGCCCAAGCGACUGUUUAACAAAAACAUAGGUUUCUGCUAAAGCGUAAGCUGAUGUAUAGGAGCUGACGCCUGCCCAGUGCUGGAAGGUUAAGAGGAGAAGUUAGUCGCAAGGCGAAGCUUUGAAUUGAAGCCCCAGUAAACGGCGGCCGUAACUAUAACGGUCCUAAGGUAGCGAAAUUCCUUGUCAGGUAAGUUCUGACCCGCACGAAAGGCGUAACGAUUUGGGCGCUGUCUCAACAAGAAACUCGGUGAAAUCAUAGUACCUGUGAAGAUGCAGGUUACCCGCGAUCAGACGGAAAGACCCCAUGGAGCUUCACUGCAACUUAAUAUUGAUAUUGGGUGUGUGAUGUACAGGAUAGGUGGGAGACAAAGAAGCGAGUACGCUAGUAUUCGUGGAGUCAACCUUGGGAUACCACCCCUCGCACAUUUAGUAUCUAACUAGUUUCCAUAAGCUGGGAAUAGAACAGUGUUAGGUGGGCAGUUUGACUGGGGCGGUCGCCUCCCAAAGAGUAACGGAGGCGCCCAAAGGUUCCCUCAGAAUGGUUGGAAAUCAUUCAUAGAGUGUAAAGGCAGAAGGGAGCUUGACUGCGAGACGGACAGGUCGAGCAGGAACGAAAGUUGGGCUUAGUGAACCGGCUGUGCUGAAUGGAAAGGCAGUCGAUCAACGGACAAAAGCUACCCUGGGGAUAACAGGCUGAUCUCCCCCAAGAGUUCACAUCGACGGGGAGGUUUGGCACCUCGAUGUCGGCUCGUCGCAUCCUGGGGCUGGAGAAGGUCCCAAG
rnacentral:rRNA from 1 species